AAACAACCGCCGGUUGAACGGAGUUCAUUGAUGUUGAACAAUAUAUUAUUUUUUAAUGUUGUUUA
rnacentral:tRNA from 1 species